AAAUAACUCACUCCGACGAGUCCGACCUGCGACGUAAUGGAUAAAUCGACCGAACCCCCCGCCGCCGCCGUUGGCUUCAACUUUACAGAUGUAGAAUUCCUUGCUGUGAUCUUUUCCGUUCGUUCGAUGCGCUAGGCGCCUCUUGUUUGCGUUCCCAGAGAUUCAUCCCGUUCUAUGCUCGUUCGCACCGAAAUUCCAAUCUCAAGAGACUCUGAUUUGCAAUCGUCUAGGGAAUCAGAAAAGAAGAGUGAUUGCUUCACUUCUUUGGUCACUUAUUAUAUCUUUGUCACUGAGAAAAAUUUUAGAUCUACACCAUGACUAUAGCAACUAGUAAUCGCAUUUUUAACCUAAGGAAGAUUGUUCGCUGCUAGAAUAUGGGGUUCGAGGAAGGUGAGUAGUUCCAGAACUUCAAUAGCAUUUGAUAUUGAAAGUCUAUGGCUAUGGAGGGAGGGAUUUGGGAAUUGUACCCUGAUAACAGACAUAAUCAUUCUACGGGAUUCACGGAGUUCGAACAUCACAAAUCAUACAGCGGGCUUCUGUUGGUUUCUGGCCUUGUAAAAGGAGAGGGAUCCAGGAUCACAAAAUUCAGUUCGAAGAUUAGUGUGUCUCUACAGGGAAAAGGGUAAGAGGAAAGGAAAGCAAUCUGCUGGUAAUUACACUUUGAAGUUCAGACCUCUGAAGCAGCCCCUCUCUCACAUUUAAUCGUACACCUAUUGAAAGGAAAAAAGAAAAGGGGAAAGAAAAAAGGAAUGAUAAAUGAAGCCUUUUCAAGCUGCAGGUCACUCCCCUCCCAACCCAACUAACAGUCAUCAUGCAACUCCCAACCUUCUACAGCUUCAAUGGCAGCUUUUGCAAAGGAAAACAAGUGAAAAGUUAAGGCUCUGUUUGGCAGUCCCACCUAUUUGUCUAAAACAAGCUGUGCCUGUGCCACCCUCUAUGGAUGCUUGGUUGUUACUCACUAACCCACCGAAAGAAGGGUGAAUCAAUGUAGAUUCUGUUGUACGGCCGGCGACAGUCCAGAGGUAAGUAUUAUGAACAAAGUCUUGUUUUCUUUCAUACUUUCACCGACUGCUUGAGGGCCAAACCCAUUUUUAGAGGUGGGGGUGUCUCUGUUUCUUUGGUUGCUUGUUUUAGUGGAAAUGAUUUUGCAAAAGUUUUUGUGGCUUUUACAAUACUUAGUCCUUGUUUAAUCAAACUCUAAAAAGGAAAUCUUGUACUUUAUGUCAAUCAUUCCUUCUAAAUCUAAUCAAAAGCCCCUUUUACUUUCCA